rnacentral:snRNA from 1 species
AUACUUAUCUGGUGCUGGGGCCUCGCUGAUCGCUGAGGACAAGCCCCUAGGGCGAGAUGCAGGCAUUGCACUGCGCUCGCGUUGACCCCUGCCACUACCCCAAACUAGGGCAGAAGGGGCACGCAAAUUGCUUAAAUCUGGUUCAGC